GAUGAAGAACGUAGCGAAAUGCGAUAAGUAAUGCGAAUUGCAGAAUUCAGUGAAUCAUCGAAUCUUUGAACGCACAUUGCGCCCUUUGGCAUUCCGAAGGGCACACCUGUCCGAGCGCCGUCGCACAACUGAGGCGCAGCCUUGCGUUGGCGGGCGACUUGUGAGUAGCGAGUCGCCGCCCAAACGAGACGGCGCCGCGCCGCGGCCGACGAAGCACGAAAGCGGAAGUCGACGCGGAGGCGGUUGCCUGUAGGAAGACACAGCUUGGCCUCGGAUCAGGUGGGGAUACCCGCUGAACUUAAGCAUAUCAAUAAGCGGAGGA
rnacentral:misc_RNA from 1 species